CAUGGCUAUUCCCCCCUUUUAUACUGACUUGGUUGGGUCUGACAGAGACCAAAGCAGCGUCGAAAACCGCGAGCGAGGAAGGGCUGCUCCUGCCCCCUACGGUGCGGGGUGGAACUGCACAAAAGGGCCACGAUCAGCCAGGAGCCCCUACCUGUGCUAAAAAAAAAAAAAGGGUGGUGUAUUUACCGUAUGUGCAAUGGAGCUUUCAACACAGCAAAGUGGAAAAUGAAAUUGAAUCACCAUAUUUUACAAUGAGCUGUAACGCAAAAAAAAAGAAUCGGAGCCGUUAAUAAGGACAACUACAUAACAGCGCGGGAAUGGCUGGAGAAGGGGAGAGAACAGUGUAAGAGAAUGAGGCAUCACCAGAAGCUAAAGAAGAAAAGUCGAUGAAGUACAUGUGGUCAGGAUGUUACAGAGAGUUUCCAGAGAAACCCACUGGUUCCAAACAAGCUGAUUUCUGAGAGAAUGGAAAGAAGAGUGUUCAACCAACAACCAUCUCCCCAGGUUCCUGCUCACUCUCCCCUGAUUUCUCCUUUUCCCAAAUUUGCCCUUGCAAACUCUUUCUUCUCCUCUCUUCUGCCC
rnacentral:lncRNA from 1 species